rnacentral:rRNA from 1 species
GACGAACGCUGGCGGCGUGCUUAACACAUGCAAGUCGAACGGAAAGGCCUUUUCGGAGGUACUCGAGUGGCGAACGGGUGAGUAACACGUGGGUGAUCUGCCCUGCACUCUGGGAUAAGCCUGGGAAACUGGGUCUAAUACCGGAUAGGACCGCACUUUAGUGUGUGUGGUGGAAAGUUUUUUCGGUGUAGGAUGAGCCCGCGGCCUAUCAGCUUGUUGGUGGGGUAAUGGCCUACCAGGGCGGCGACGGGUAGCCGGAUUGAGAGGUUGGUCGGCCACAUUGGGACUGCGAUACGGCCCAGACUCCUACGGGAGGCAGCAGUGGGGAAUAUUGCACAAUGGGCGCAAGCCUGAUGCAGCGACGCCGCGUGGGGGAUGACGGCCUUCGGGUUGUAAACUCCUUUCGCCAGGGACGAAGCGUUUUGUGACGGUACCUGGAGAAGAAGCACCGGCUAACUACGUG